UCACAGGUAUGCACUGUAGUCACAGGUAUACACUGUAGUCACAGGUAUACACUGUAGUCACAGGUAUGCACUGUAGUCACAGGUAUGCACUGUAGUCACAGGUAUGCACUGUAGUCACAGAUACAGUGCCUUGCGAAAGUAUUCGGCCCCCUUGAACUUUGCGACCUUUUGCCACAUUUCAGGCUUCAAACAUAAAGAUAGAAAACUGUAUUUUUUUGUGAAGAUUCAACAACAAGUGGGACACAAUCAUGAAGUGGAACGACAUUUAUUGGAUAUUUCAAACUUUUUUAACAAAUCAAAAAUUGGGCGUGCAAAAUUAUUCAAAAAAGUAUUAUUAUUAUUAUAUAGUAGUGGGGUAGUGUAGUGUGGGUAGUGUAUUGUAGUGGGGGUAGUGUAGUGGGGGUAGUGUAGUGUAGUGGGGGGUGUAGUGUAGUGGGGUAGUGUAGUGUAGUGGGGGUAGUGUAGUGUAGUGUGGGUAGUGUAGUGUAGUGUAGUGUGGGUAGUGUAGUGUAGUGGGGGUAGUGUAGUGUAGUGUGGGUAGUGUAGUGUAGUGGGGGUAGUAGGGGUAGUGUAGUGGGGGUAGUGUAGUGUGGGUAGUGUAGUGUAGUGGGGGUAGUGUAGUGUGGUGGGGGUAGUGUAGUGUAGUGGGGGUAGUGUAGUGGGGGUAGUGUAGUGGGGUGGGGGUAGUGUAGUGUGAAGUGUGACCAACCACUGUUUCCAUCCUGGGUGCAGUUGAAACGUAUCAAUCUGUUUUCACAGUGAGACAGUAGCAGAGAGUGUACGGUACACAACAUUGUCUGUAACCAACAACCUGAAGGACGGCGGUUUGAAUCCAAGGGCUUUCAGGGUGUGUACACAGCACUGUUUUCAUAGCAGUCACAGUCGCAGACUCUGUAUCAAUCGGAGUACAGUCAGACCUUCACAGCUCCCAACACAGGAAGAACAGUCAGUAACAGGGAGGGACAUGAACAACAGUCAGUAACAGGAAGAACAGUCAGUAACAGGGAGGGACAGGAACAACAGUCAGUAACAGGAAGAACAGUCAGUAACAGGGAGGGACAGGAAGAACAGUCAGUAAAAGGGAGGGACAGGAAGAACAGUCAGUAACCGGAAGAACAGUCAGUAACAGGGAGGGACAUGAACAACAGUCAGUAACAGGAAGAACAGUCAGUAACAGGGAGGGACAGGAAGAACAGUCAGUAACAGGGAGGGACAGGAAGAACAGUCAGUAAAAGGGAGGGACAGGAAGAACAGUCAGUAACCGGAAGAACAGUCAGUAACAGGGAGGGACAUGAACAACAGUCAGUAACAAGAAGAACAGUCAGUAACAGGGAGGGACAGGAAGAACAGUCAGUAACAGGAAGAACAGUCAGUAACAGGGAGGGACAGGAACAACAGUCAGUAACGGGGAGGGACAGGAAGAGCAGUCAGUAACAGGAAGAGCAGUCAGUAACAGGAAGAGCAGUCAGUAACAGGGAGGGACAAGAAGAACAGUCAGUAACAGGAAGAACAGUCAGUAACAGUCAGUAACAAGAAUAACAGUCAGUAACAGGGAUGGACAGGAAGAACAGUCAGUAACAGGAAGAACAGUC
ensembl:lncRNA